GUGUUUGCAUUGGCUCCACACAUACUAAAUUUUGAACAAUACAGAGAUUGGCGUGGCUCUUGUGCAAGGAUGACACAAAUUUAUGAAGCAUUCCAUAUUUUU